CAGUCCAGUCAAGGAUGUUCUCAUUCCUAUGAACACACAGUGCUUUUAUUCUUUUGGUUUUGGAUCUUCGUAGUUCCUCGGCCUCAGUGAUAUCUCGUGGAAAAGUGUUUGAGCGGAGAUUGUGUAGUCUGGCAUCUUUUUACCUGUUCCCUUUUAACAGUCUGAAACGUUACCAGCUUUGCGUUUGCUUCAGUAUUGCUUUGCUCACAUAUUCUGAAGGAGGAAACAACUUGCUUGACCCAUGUGCUCUAGAUCAGCCAUUACUUUUAAGUAUCUCUCUCUGAAUUUCUACCUCAUUUGUCUCUUAGCCUGCUCAGCUGUCCCACUGUGCUGUUUGGGGACUUACAGGCAUGACCUUGUCUCGAUUCAUUACUUUGUUAGUUUUGGCAUUCUAUAUAUUUUUAAAUAUAGCUUUUCCUUUUAUAGGAUUAAAUAUUUCUGUUUUAAGAGCCUGUUGAAACACACGUUUCCCUGUUCUCCUGUCUUGGGCUCGGCAGCUGAUCAGCACAGGGCUGUAGAUCAAAACUGACUUCUGGCUCCUGCAGACACCAGUUAGAGGAGGUGAUGCUGAAAUGGCUUGAGAGCGCAGACAAGGCAACCAGCUACCUACAGGUACGUCUUGUGUCAAUAUACUGUAGCACAACUGUACGAGUGAGAUAUUCCUUCCAAGACAGCACGAACAAUGAUGGGUGUCCUCAUUUUUCCAGACUUGGUGAUAGCGACACAAUGCUGCUUCUACAGCACGAGAACAUCUGGUUCUACAGACUGCAGACCUUCUCUCCUGUGCCCUGGGACAAUACUGUUGUGGUCACCUGAAAGAAAUCCCCCUUGUGCUACCCUUCGACAGCAGUGUACUUAGCACUAUAUAAAGUAUGUUCAAAGCAGAGCUCUGUCUGGUUAACGCUGGAGUGGGAGAGUUUAUCACUUCCACCAGUUGGACCACAUCUAAAAGUCAGACAUCCAGAAGAUGAGAGACACCACUGAGGGGCCAUUUGUGAAGAAAUGUGGCUUAAGUAAUUUGCCCCUUCAUGACAGAGGAAAGUGGAGUAAGAAGCAAUAAUUAACCUCAGUCCUCUUGGAUAGCUUUAUCUGACUUUAAAUUGGAGACACUUUUUCUAUUCCCUCCCUUCUUUACCAGACAUCCAAGUGCAGUUGAAGACCCUGGAGCUCUGCAGCAGUCACCCUCACCGGACUGCUUCACUGCCCGAGUGACCCUGUGCCCUGGCCAAGGCAUCUGUCAGCUUUUCUGCUUCUAAGGGAGAGGAGUUUGUAUGGAAAUUCUCAACCAUUCUCAAGGCAUGUCCAAAAUGACAAAGAUAAUGAAGAAAGACAGAAAUGGGGAAGAGAAAUCAGGACUUGAAUCUGCUCUGAAGGCCAAGAUCUCUAGAGCUUUCCCUGAAAGUCAACUUCAAAGGAAGAAACAGUAAAAGGAUUCGAGGAAAAAGAGACAUGUACUUGGAUGGUGGCCUGAUGCUGUGACAGCUUCCAGUGGAGAUGAGCUGGGUGGCUAGACAGGAGGCUGUGUACUGAAAAGAGAGGGUGAAAGGUGCCGCCUGCCAAAGCAGCAGCUGGUGAGAAGGCGACUGGACUGCACAGCAUCAGCGAACACAUGAUCGGUGGGGAAGCGCGAGCCCAGCUUCAAUCCUUGUCAAUGGCACCUCGUUGACUUUUAACACUUCCUUAUCGUGUCUGCGCUCACCUCGUAGCUGAUAAAAUGCCAUCGCCGGUGUAAUCUCCUGAGCAGCUCUGCAGAAAACGUUGCAGAGCAUGGGAGGCUGAACCGCCUGCAGCCAGCAA